rnacentral:rRNA from 1 species
UACGAGGGGCCCAAGCGUUAUCCGGAAUUACUGGGCGUAAAGGGUCCGUAGGAGGAUCUGUUAGUCCUGUGUGAAAGCUCCCGGCUUAACCGGGAAAACGCAUAGGAAACGGCAGAACUUGAGGGUGUGAGAGGCUGAUGGAACUCAUGGUGUAGGAGUGAAAUCCGUUGAUAUCAUGGGGAACACCAAAUGCGAAGGCAAUCAGCUAGCGCACUCCUGACUCUGAAGGACGAAAGCGUGGGGAUCAAAAAGG